rnacentral:rRNA from 1 species
CAUGUCCUUUUGAUUUUUAAUUUAAGGUUUAACCUGCUCAAUGAUGAAUAAAUAGCCGCAGUAUUUUGACUGUGCAAAGGUAGCAUAAUAAUUAGUUUCUUAAUUAGGAACUGGUAUGAAUGGUUGGACAAGAAAAUUUCUGUCUCUUUUUUAAUAUUUUUGAAUUUUAUUUUUAAGUGAAAAAGCUUAAAUUUUUAUAAAAGACGAGAAGACCCUAUAGAGUUUAAUAUUAUAUUAUAAUAAAUAAUUAGUAAUUGCUUUUUUAAUAAAAUAUUUAAUUGGGGUGAUUGAUAGAAAAAUAUAAUUCUCUUAAAGUUAAGUUGAUAAUUUUCAAUUUUUUAAUCUAAAGUUUUUAAAAUUAAAAUAAAUUACCUUAGGGAUAACAGCGUAAUUUUUCUUUAAAGUUCUUAUUAAAAGGAAAGUUUGCGACCUCGAUGUUGGAUUAAAAUUAAUUUUUGGUGCAGUAACUAAAAAAUUAGGUCUGUUCGACCUUUAAAAUUUUACAUGAUCUGAGUUUAAACCGGUGUGAGCCAGGUUGGAUUCUAUCUUUAGAAAUUUAUUAUAUUUUAGUACGAGAGGACCAAAUAUAAGUUAAAAGUAAUUGU